CCUCUUCUCUGAACACGGGGGUAGUUCCCUCGGCCUGUUAUAUCUAGGAGCCCUAUCAUGGCACUUAGCGUUGAAGAAAAAGCCCAGAUCGUUAACGACUACAAGCGCGGCGAA
rfam:Pseudomonas sp. HPB0071 genomic scaffold aczIi-supercont1.1, whole genome shotgun sequence.